rnacentral:rRNA from 1 species
CGCAGCCGCGGUAAUUCCAGCUCCAAUAGCGUAUAUUAAAGUUGUUGCAGUUAAAAAGCUCGUAGUUGAAUUUCGGGGUUAGUAGGUUGGUCAUGCCUCUGGUAUGUACUGGUCUCACUGAUUCCUCCUUCCUGAUGAACCUUAAUGCCAUUUAUUUGGUGUUUUGGGGAAUUUGGACUGUUACUUUGAAAAAUUAGAGUGUUUAAAGCAAGCUAACGCUUGAAUACAUUAGCAUGGAAUAAUGAAAUAGGACGUUCGAUCCUAUUUUGUUGGUUUCUAGGAUUGACGUAAUGAUUAAUAGGGAUAGUUGGGGGCAUUAGUAUUCAAUUGUCAGAGGUGAAAUUCUUGGAUUUAUUGAAGACUAACUACUGCGAAAGCAUUUGCCAAGGAUGUUUUCAUUAAUCAAGAACGAAAGUUAGGGGAUCGAAGACGAUCAGAUACCGUCGUAGU